UAUUUUGCUGGGGGGCUGUAACAGGGUGUCUUGCCCCAUGGAGUGCAGAUCCUGGGACUAAGCCAACCCUAAUAAUAUGAUGAGCCCCGCCUGAGUGGGAUCAGGAAUUCCCUAUAAAAGGCCACAGGUGGCUGAUCCAAGCUGGGGGAAACCACUCAGGAAAUAGAGGUCUGAGAAGUUGUAGUUGGCAAGAAGGUGAAGGAAACUGCUGCAGGGAGCAAGAUUAGUUCUUGCAGAGACUUUGAAAGUGCAGAUCUGGGGAAGAGGGCUGGGAAUACCCCAAUGAAGGAGAGACAGAUGUUGAACUGAGUUUGGGGCCUGGAUGGCCAAUGUAUAUGUGAAGAAUGAAUAAAUUGGACCUCAGGCUGCUGCCAAGGUCUCCUGCUGUACCUGGCUCCUCUCCAGUCAAUAUGCUUCCCAGUUCCCAGGCCACUGCCAGAUGCCCCUGAAUGAGUUCCCAGCCUGCUGACCUGUACCUCUCUGAGUCGCUCCUGGGGGAGCCGGGAAGCUGCUGCUCAGCAAAUUCCUGCCAAGACGAAGCUCAGCUGAUUUUACGCUGCCCCCAGGCUUUUUGUAAUGACAACCAUGCCAGCCUCUCAGGAGUUGUCAGGUGGAGAAGCUGGAAGGGUUAGCAGCUGGGGAGGGUGCAUUAGGGAACAUGGGGUUGCUGGAAGACAGGCUGGGGUUUUGGCACACAGGAGGUGGCUGAAAUUGUGGUCAAUAAAGUCAAGAUGUGGCCAAGCCCAGAUGUGGCUUCAUGUUCCCCUCCUCAUUCUGGGCAGGGGGAAAGAGAGCUAGCUGGGGACUGAAUUCCUGAUUGUGUCUACGUUAGAAUGUUCCUACCCUUUAGUCCCAACUGGUAGCACUCAGUAGAAACAGCUAGUGCAGCCCAAGUGCCAGCACUGCUGUAGCAUCUCCCCCCUGCUCCCAGCACAGGGAGACAACAUGAUGGAGAAACCACCAGCAGCUGCUCCACCCAAGCACCCUGUCAGGGCUAGGCCCAGCUCAGCUGCAUGAGUGCAGAAGAGAAUAUUGUGUCUGGUUACCAGGGAAAAGGCAGGCUGAAAUAAUGGCUUGCUGUAGCAGGAUAUUUCCACUAAUACACUCAGCAGUGAAAUAGUUAACCUGGCUGCAGUUUCAGCAGCCAUCGUGAGGUUUCAGAAUGAACACCCUUUUUCUCUAAACUGGAAUGACUGUAAUGUCUCCCGGAGCUGUUGCUCCAGGCUGGAAGCUGGCCUGGCUGGAGAACAGUUCUUAUGCAGCCAUGAGGAGGAGCUUUUUAAGGGAAAAAGCUGCAGGGAGCUAAAUCCCUUCAGUGCCCCUGAACACCCUGGACCUGCUUAACCGUGCAUUUCUUGGGUGCUGAUCGCUGCAGCGUCUGGAUUGCAAGGAGCUGCUGUUGCAUCACAUUCCCCAAGGCAGCGAGGAUCCCCCGCCCUUCCGUCCGCUCCCAUCGUCCCCAUGUUGUGCUUACAGUGUAGGUGAUGUCCUAGUUUUACUUCUUGUCACUCUGCAUGAAAGGGCGGCUGAGUGGAGGAGGGGAAGAUGCAGACAGAGGGGUGCUGGGCCAA